rnacentral:RNase_P_RNA from 1 species
GGAGCCGGCGAGGCGGUCGCUCCUUCUGACGAAGAAGAAGGGGAGGAAAGUCCGAACUCCACAGGGCAGGAUGGUCGCUAACAGCGACUCCGGGCAACCGGGGGAAAGUGCCACAGAAAAGAUACCGCCUGCUUCAACUCGAAGUCAGGUAAGGGUGAAAUGGUGAGGCAAGAGCUCACCGCUCUGAAGGCGACUUCAGAGGCAGGGCAAACCCCAUCCGGAGCAAGACCAAAUUAACCCCGGAAAUGGAUGGCCCGUCCAAUGGGGUGGGUAGGUCGCUUGAGCUGUUAAGCAAUUAACAGUUGAGACAAAUGACCGCUGCAGCUUCAAGCUGUGACUGAAUUCGGCUUAGGUCCGGCUCCGGCC